GAUGAAGAACGUAGCGAAAUGCGAUAAGUAAUGCGAAUUGCAGAAUUUCCGUGAGUCAUCGAAUCUUUGAACGCACAUUGCGCCCAUUGGCAUUCCGAUGGGCAUGCCUGUUCGAGCGUCAUUAUCCUCCCUCAAACCCCUGGGUUUGGUGUUGGACUGUGUGGUGCCUGGCACCACUGGUCUCAAAGACAAUGACGGCGUCCGUGGGACCCUCGGUGCAACGAGCUUUUCGAAGCACGCGUCGAGUGGACAGUCUCUCCGGGCCGGUCACCUCUCCAAUUUUUCUCAGGUUGACCUCGGAUCAGGUAGGAAUACCCGCGGAACUUAAGCAUAUCAAUAAGCGGAGGA
rnacentral:misc_RNA from 1 species